CUUUAGAGUACAUUUUCGAAAUACCAGUGUUCUCCUUUCAGUGUGGACUAUGAGUGGCCAAGUCAGAUCCAGAUCCAGAACCAGAAUCAAAGAAAGAAAAGAUAAUCCAGGGUCUAAAGAGCAGGAGCAGCAACCCAGUGAUGAGCAACCGAAAAAAAGGGAGGCACCACCUGAGAGUCAGGAUAUUCUGCCUGAUCAAGGGAAGGAAGUUGAAGCAGGACCUGUGGCUCAAGGACGGGACCUGCAAGCUGAUCUCCAGGAGCUGCCUCAGGCAAAGGCUGGGGGUAUAACUGAAGAUGACCCUGAUGCAAGGGGCCAAGUCUACCCUUCUUAGAGCCCAUUAAAAUGCCGGAAGCAGGUGCAGGACUACUCCAGAUUUAAACAAGGACAAGCUGAAACAUGCAGACUACUCUUAUGUGGGGUACUUCACUGUUGUAGUUCUCUCAAUAAAGUGUUACAGACGUUCCACAAAGAAUCUUUUGAAAUCUGUGUUAAACUUCUCCCAAGUAGGGGGUGCCUGGGUCUCAGUCCCUUAAGCAGCUGACUCUUGGUUUCAGCUCAGGUCAUAAUUCAUUGGUCAUGGGAUGGACCCCGAGUCUGGCUCGAUGCUCCUCGGGAAGUCAGCUUGAACGAUUCUGUCCCUCUGCUCCUGUUCCCUCCGUCCCUCCCUCCCUCCGUCCCUCCCUCUCUCUCUCUCUCUCUCUCUUAAAUU